rnacentral:rRNA from 1 species
CCUACGGGAGGCAGCAGUCGAGAAUCAUUCACAAUGGGGGAAACCCUGAUGGUGCGACGCCGCGUGGGGGAAUGAAGGUCUUCGGAUUGUAAACCCCUGUCAUGUGGGAGCAAAUUAAAAAGAUAGUACCACAAGAGGAAGAGACGGCUAACUCUGUGCCAGCAGCCGCGGUAAUACAGAGGUCUCAAGCGUUGUUCGGAAUCACUGGGCGUAAAGCGUGCGUAGGCUGUUUCGUAAGUCGUGUGUGAAAGGCGAGGGCUCAACCCGCGGACGGCACAUGAUACUGCGAGACUAGAGUAAUGGAGGGGGAACCGGAAUUCUCGGUGUAGCAGGGAAAUGCGUAGAUAUCGAGAGGAACACUCGUGGCGAAGGCGGGUUCCUGGACAUUAACUGACGCUGAGGCACGAAGGCCAGGGGAGCGAAAGGGAUUAGAUACCCCAGUAGUC